rnacentral:tRNA from 1 species
GGAAGCGUGGCAGAGUGGUCGAUUGCACCGGUCUUGAAAACCGGCGACUUGAAAAGGUCCGUGAGUUCGAAUCUCACCGCUUCCG